rnacentral:rRNA from 1 species
CCUACGGGAGGCAGCAGUGAGGAAUAUUGGUCAAUGGACGAGAGUCUGAACCAGCCAAGUAGCGUGAAGGAUGACUGCCCUAUGGGUUGUAAACUUCUUUUAUAUGGGAAUAAAAUGUUCCACGUGUGGGAUUUUGUAUGUACCAUAUGAAUAAGGAUCGGCUAACUCCGUGCCAGCAGCCGCGGUAAUACGGAGGAUCCGAGCGUUAUCCGGAUUUAUUGGGUUUAAAGGGAGCGUAGGUGGAUUGUUAAGUCAGUUGUGAAAGUUUGCGGCUCAACCGGAAAAUUGCAGUUGAAACUUGCAGUCUUGAGUACAGUAGAGGUGGGCGGAAUUCGUGGUGUAGCGGUGAAAUGCUUAGAUAUCACGAAGAACUCCGAUUGCGAAGGCAGUUCACUGGACUGCAACUGACACUGAGGCUCGAAAGUGUGGGUAUCAAACAGGAUUAGAUACCCCUGUAGUC